GACGAACGCUGGCGGCGUGCUUAACACAUGCCAGUCGAACGGAAAGGCCCCUUUGGGGGUACUCGAGUGGCGAACGGGUGAGUAACACGUGAGUAACCUUCCCUUGACUUCGGGAUAACUUCAGGAAACUGGGGCUAAUACCGGAUAGGAAUCCUUGCUGCAUGGGGGGGGUUGGAAAGCUUCGGCGGUUUUGGAUGGACUCGCGGCUUAUCAGCUUGUUGGUGGGGUAGUGGCUUACCGAGGCUUUGACGGGUAGCCGGCCUGAGAGGGCGACCGGCCACAUUGGGACUGAGAUACGGCCCAGACUCCUACGGGAGGCAGCAGUGGGGAAUAUUGCACAAUGGGCGGAAGCCUGAUGAAGCAACGCCGCGUGCGGGAUGACGGCCUUAGGGUUGUAAACCGCUUUCAGCAGGGGCGAAGCUUGUGGUGACGGUACCUAAAGAAGAAGCACCGGCUAACUACGUG
rnacentral:rRNA from 1 species